AAACAUGUCUCAGCAAUAAAUAUCCACAAGGUUGGAGCAACGCUUAUUCCUGUGUCAACAACACUCCUUAAGGAAAAGGAAACCACACUAUUGGCACUAUACAGGACCCAGUGGCAUUGCUAGCAUAUUUGAUACCCAGUGUGGAUCAUUUUUAAUGUCCCCCUCCUCUCCUCAACAGCCUUUUCUGGGUUUGGAGGAGCUGCCGGUCAGGCGUGAAAGAGAGGUGACUUUCUAUAUUAUCUGGCCGGAAGAGACACCAGAUCUUUCCACCAGUGCACUGGGGGACAACCCCAUCUGAGAUUUCACCCAGAGUGGUCUGCACACCUUGCACACCCUUACUGACACACCUGACAGGACUCCAUCCCUGUAUUGAUUUCUCUGCUAUCAAAAUACAGAUUGUAAGAUCAUUGGGGCAGAGCAUUUAUGUCAGUAUACGCCAUAUAUACCAGAAGUAAGCAACUGCAGCAGCUCUAGGGACCAAUGCCGGGGGCCACAUAAGCUGACCAGAAAAAAUGAGGGGAAAUUAAAAGUAGCUGAAACUUUUCUUCCAGUUAUGAAAGGUGGAGCUGAAAUUAGAACAUCCGCCAGCCCUGGCCGAGGCUUGCCAGUUUCAACACCAAUCUCUUACCCAAUCUCCUCCCAUUCAGAGCUGCUAUUUUCAUGCUCUCUUCCAGUAACAGGUUCUCCUGGGACUUGCUGAGUUUGGGUUGCCUUCGGAAGCAUUGCAUGGCUCUCCGGGAGAGGCACCAGGGAACAGCAAAGACAUCAGGAGGACUUCUCCACCGGACUCAGUUAACCAGGUUGCCACCAAGAUCCUUGUUGUUAAACAGUGGCUGGAAAGUUUGGCGACAGCAGCAGCAAAAGCAACAACACAAGGAGGAGGAGGGAAGGAAGAGGACUGAAGGCUUGGCUUCCAAUGUUGGACAGUGACGUUGAACAAUCACAGCUCUCUGGAAGAGGAAUUGUACUGCACUCCCGUCUUAGGGAGAGGGAGGACCAAAGUUCUCCAGUAAUUAAAACUUAAUUGCUUUGGGCGUCACAUGGCAAGGGGAAUUUGUGAUGCUGCUUUUCCUUCUUCCUUGGCCAUUCCUACUGUUUGUUCAGCCUCCAUAAUGGUUUGCAACACCUGAAAGUGCAGCUCUUUUAUCAUGAUUAAGUGGAAAGGUGGCACUCUCUUCUUGAUUCCAGCCUCCAGUUCCCACAGGGAUGGCUGCUGUGAAAUCGCGGAAUGUUUACACACAUUCCAACUGACUGGACCUGUUUUUUAAUGCUUUGAUCGUCCACGGAAAAGCGGUAUACAAAUAAAGCUUAUUAUUAUUAUUA